GCUGACCCCGGAGAAAAAGCCUGAGAGACGGCUUUUAGACCUAUGGGUUGCAGCAGUUACGUAAAUUAUCCCAUGCGCCUCGCGCGAGAUAGUGACAGGGAAUAUCAAAGCGGGGCUCUUUGAGUCUUGCUGUUGGAAUGAGAACAAAUUAAAACCUUUAGCGAGGAUCAAUUGGAGGGCAAGUCUGGUGCCAGCAGCCGCGGUAAUUCCAGCUCCAAUAAGGAACAUUAAAUUUGUUGCAGUUAAAAAGCUCGUAGUUGAAUUUCUGGACGCUGCCGUUCGACCGCGUGGGAGCAAUCCCGCGCGCGUUCGAGCCACGUCCAUGUUCGCGCUGGCGGCGCGCGUGCUUCACUGUGCGCGCGUCGACGACGCGUCUUUUACUGUGAACGAAACGAAGCGUUCAUAGCAGGCUUUGAGCUUGAACGAAUCGCACGGAAUAAUGAAUACGACGCUCGUCGUUUUCGUUGGUUCGCGACGGGUGUUAUUGGUUAACAGGAACAGUUGGGGGUAUUUGUACUUCAACGCUAGAGGUGAAAUUCUUGGAUUGUUGAAUGACAAACGACUGCGAAGGCAUUUACCAAGGAUGUUUUCAUUAAUCAAGAACGAAAGUUUGGGGAUCGAAGAUGAUUAGAUACCAUCGUAGUCCAAACAGUAAACGAUGCCGACUCGGGAUCCGAGCCUGUCAUUUACGACGGCUCGGGCACCGUAUGAGAAAUCAAAGUCUUAGGGUUCCGGGGGGAGUAUGGUCGCAAGGCUGAAACUUAAAGGAAUUGACGGAAGGGCACACCAGAGGUGGAGCCUGCGGUUUAAUUUGACCCAACGCGGGGAAACUUACCAGGUCCAGACAUGACGAGGAUUGACAGUUUGAAAGCACUUUCUUGAUUUUAUGGGUGGUGGUGCAUGGCCGUUCUUAGUUGGUGGAGUGAUUUGUCUGGUUGAUUCCGAUAACGAACGAGACCCGGACUGCUAAAUAGCCACCCGCUAGCUUUGCUAGCGCAGGGGCUUCUUAGUGGGACAACUUGGUUUUACCAAGCGGAAGCACCGGGCAAUAACAGGUCUGUGAUGCCCUUAGAUGUUCUGGGCCACACGCGCGCUACAAUGACGGGUUCAACGAGUUUUUUCCUUGCUCGGAAGGGCAUGGGUAAUCUUCUCAAUGCUCGUCGUGAUGGGGCUAGAUUUUUGCAAUUAUUAAUCUUCAACGAGGAAUCUCUAGUAUGUGCGAGUCAUCAGCUCGCGCAGAAUGCGUCCCUGCCCUUUGUACACACCGCCCGUCGCAGCUACCGAUUGGAUGGUCCGAUGAAAAGUUUGGAGGUGGCUAGCAUGGGCAACUGCGCUGGCCGCCAAAGCUCUUUGAAUCUUAUCAUCUAGAGGAAGCUGAAGUCGUAACAAGGUUUCCGUAGGUGAACCUGCGGAAG
rnacentral:rRNA from 1 species